rnacentral:rRNA from 1 species
AUUGAACGCUGGCGGCAUGCCUUACACAUGCAAGUCGAACGGCAGCACGGGAGCAAUCCUGGUGGCGAGUGGCGAACGGGUGAGUAAUGUAUCGGAACGUGCCCAGUCGUGGGGGAUAACGUAGCGAAAGUUACGCUAAUACCGCAUACGAUCUAUGGAUGAAAGCGGGGGAUCGCAAGACCUCGCGCGAUUGGAGCGGCCGAUAUCAGAUUAGGAGUUGGUGGGGUAAAGGCUCACCAAGCCGACGAUCUGUAGCUGGUCUUAGAGGACGACCAGCCACACUGGGACUUAGACACGGCCCAGACUCCUACGGGAGGCAGCAGUGGGGAAUUUUGGACAAUGGGCGCAAGCCUGAUCCAGCAAUGCCGCGUGCAGGACGAAGGCC